UCACGAAGCGUGACGAUGUCACAGGCUGACAGUAGCAGUGUGGAGGUGGCUUAAUUGUGUCUUGGCAUAUACCAUGUGUAAUAGUUUGUUUGGGAAAGAUCUCUCUUCCACACAGCAUCCAAAAAAAUACGAAAAUUUUACUUUUUAUGCACUUGGUUUCCACAGUCGGACUUUUAAUUUGAAUUAUACAAAGGUAUAUAUUUUUUCCUACUCAAUAUUCUUGAGUGUGCAUGUGCAUGCACUUCGCUACAAAAUAUUGAAAACGUUUUUCAAUUUCGCGAAUCGGCGACUGUGACCGACUAUCCGGCGAACAGCGUUUUGCGCACGAUUCCAUGUAAAAUUAAUGCGAAUAAUUUUAGAAUUUAUAAAAACUGCAUAUAUGUAUAUAUGGGUAUAUACACGCAUAUAUUUUCACACGGCAGGGAUGCUCCAGUGAGUUCAAACAUCCAUGAAUUGGAGUGCAAUCGGCGUAACAAUUUUUUUUUCCAUUUACAAUUUUGUGUGCACACGCAAUGAACCGGAAUCUAAUAGCUUGUCUACUCUAAUGGAACACUUGUUUCAAGCAAUUAAGUUUGUAGUAUUUAUUAUACAAUACUUCGAAAAUACAAGCAAUAGAUGCCUUUGGGCGCGUUGCCAGCGGAAUUAAACAAAUUAAGUUCCAUAUGUCCUUUUUUGUUAUUAAUUGCUGGUGUUUCUAAGCGUACCAGAUAUAGGUACAAAAUAAUGUAUGAAUAUAUUUUUAUUUGAUGUACACACCGAUUCUGAACCAAAUUUUAAUCCCGAAAUUUCGGUAUCAAAAAAAUAUACUUUGAGAUCCCGAAAAUUUUCGGUAUUCUUUGAUUUUCAACUGUUUUCAUAAACACUAAUUCUAAAAUGAAAUUUAGAAAAUCUCGAAAUUUCGGGAUCAAAAAAUUUACUCCGGGGUCCUGAAAUUUGUUCGGAAUUUUUUAACUGUUUUCAUAAAAUUAUAACCCGAUUUGUUUUUAAAAUUUAAGAAAUGCUAGCUACAAUAUGAUACAUAUGAAAAGUACUUCAUGCAUCUCACUAAUUCCUUGACGAAACCUUUUCCACUACGGUUACUCUAAAGUAAAAUCAACGACCAUAACAAUAUAUUAGGAGCGCAGCAAAAACCUACAGCAUCCACACAAGUCAUGUGUAUGAUUAUAUAUACAUACAUAUAAACAUAUAUACUCUCUCCUAAACGCCUACUAACCUUUCUAUGUCAUAAUCGUUCUAGUUCAGCUUGGAUGCUUCAGUGAACUGAAUGACCAAAAACAAAGUGCAGCAUGCCGUGACAUUUUCACACACAGUGUAACUGAGUGACCUGCCUACUUGAAGAUAGCUAACAGUUGCCGCUGACUACUAUUGCUCACUUUAUGGCUUAGGUAUGAAUAUACAAAAGUGUAGAGAAGUGGUGAACAGUUAGUUUUUAGAUAAGAUGCAAACAGCUAGGAUAGUAAAAUGAGUUUGAAGUAGAAAGAAGAAGAACCAAUAAUCGAUCAUCUGCACCCAAAUAAUUUUAAUCUUAAAAAUCACAACCGUUUUUUCAUAGCCACUAUAAACAUGAAUGAGCAAAGGGUUACAAACCGCAAUGUAUUAUAUAUUAACAGGAGAACAGCAUUUAAAGUAGGAGACCCAGCUUCAUAUAUGUACACAGUGAACCUUCUGCGUUGAGUAAAUACCUCAGCUUGAGAUUAGACGAGUGAUCUUUACCUGCUUGUUCUUAACCUAUGUUACAAAUCGCCUGCUGAGAUAAGAUCAAACUCAAAAACAUAUUUAGGAAUAGACAAUGUCUUCAAAGAGUAACAAGGCAAAUAUUUUAACGAGGAAGGUAAUACAACUUUUUUCUCCACUUAUUUAAGAAAAUAUCAUAUUCCAGAAUGAAUCAUAAAUGAAACAUGAUACCACAAAGUAUAACAAAUGAACAGGCGAUCACAAUUAAAUACGAGUACAUCGUCAAAACACAUAAUUCGGUUUUGGAACAUUCCUACAGGUAUCUGUGAAUGAAAACGAAUUCAAGAACAACAAAGCAAAAACCAAUUUUAAAGCGAAAAUAUUGUGUUUUCCACUUAAGUAGUCUAGGAAUUCCACAAGAAAAUAAGCAAAGAAAAACCACAAUGUUUGUUUAAGCAAUAGGCAAACAGUCUUGUAAGAGGUAGUUUCAGUUAAGAAAAUGCUAAAAUAAUUUCAUGCCUAAGAAUUUCAAACUGAGAAAAUCAGGUACUUGAAAGAAAAUCGAAUGCUUUUGUUAUUUGAUUUGGAAUGGACCUCCAGCUGCGCCAUGACGAAACCAUAUAUUUGAGACUAUUUCCAAAAAAAUAUGAAGAAACUGGAAUUAAAAAACAGACAAUUUAAUAGAGGAGACUAGAGAGUAUGAAACAGCAUUCUCUACUCUUUCUGUCACUCCCUCAAUAUAGUAAAUCUGUAUAAACAAAUAUAGCAAAAUUAGCGAAAGAAAGACAACAGUUUUUACUUCAAAAAUCACUAAAAAAAUUUGAGUCAAAGACUUGAACAGCAUGACAUUAACAGGUAAGCAGAUCACUAGUGCACAGCUUAUUCCAUAAUUUUUCAAAGAAUUGUUGAAAAAACAGCGAGAGAGAUACCAAAACUAAUAUUGAGGAUAAAAAAUUCAUGUUUUCAGUUGAAAAAAUAGUUUUGCCGCCAUUGCUUGUAGCGGGUUACUCUUCAAAUUUCCAGCUCGCUUUUGCUUUAUGGUAUAUUAAAAUAAAAAAUUUUAACGAUUUGAAAGAGUUAAAACUUAAAAAAUGCAAAGUCUGAUUCUACCAGGAGUGCAGUUUCUGUUAACCAUAUCCUUACUAAAGACGUUCAAAAACAUUUUGGUUACCUCUAGACUGAAAAUCAUACAGCUUGCCUACCUGCUAGGUGAUCAGCCAUGUCAUCAAUGCCUUCAUAACAUUUGUAUUUUAAAUUUCUUAUUCAAUCCGGAAUUCCAGAAAAAAAUAAGUGAGCUGAAAUUAAAAAAGUCACAAAGCGUGAAGCCUUACCAGGCAAACAGCUUUGUCGGUAGCAUCUUCAGCUUAAAAAACCAUAAAAAAAAAAUAAAAAUAAUGUUCUCCUAAAUAUAUCCUUAACACAAACGUCACCUUAUACCCACAUACCUAUAUGUAGGGAUGUACGUAUCUGGAUAUUCGUACAAAAGCGAGUUGAUUAUGCUCCCCUUUAUACAAAAUCACAAAGCGUGACGGGGCCAUAGGCGAACAAAAGCAGAAACAAGCAACGCCAUUAAAUAUUGGAAAAAUUUCUUCGCAGCAUCCGCCGUUAUUGCAAAUUUGAGGGUCAACGUGAUCUUAAAGAAGAUAUAUGUGUUUGAUUAUUAAAAUUUUGUUUCGUAAUACAUAAUAUGCCGAAUGUGUAGCGUCGCUUCAACUUUUCGAAAUCGACGACUGUGACCAGGUACUAGGCGCACAGCGUUUUCCACACCGUUGCAAAUUUUAAAAACUAUAAGCGGAAAAAAUCAGAGUUUCUCACGGCAACGUAGGGAUGCUCGAGUGAGUUCAAAUAUUCACAAAUUCGAACGCAAGUGCCGUAAAUGUUUUGUUUUUUUUUGGUUUCUUCGCUUGCGCAAUUUUUCUGUUCAUACGCAAUGAACCAGAAUCGAAUGGCUUGCGCAGUCUAACGGAACACUUGUUUCGCAUUUUUUUCGAUUUUGAAUUUCAAUAUUAUUGCUCUGCGUUCUUGAAAAGACCUACAGUUUCAAUUUUUGUUUCUAUAUAGGUAUAAUUUUCUUAACCCUUGGUGGUGCAAACAUUUUUUAAUGUUGUUGUUAAGCGUGUAACUGAAUGGCAAUAGAACGUGUCGACUUGUUUAAAGUGUUUUAUAAAUAAAUAAUAUUUAUUUGCUCAAAUUCAAAUUUUCUAUCUAAGGGGAUAUACGAGUACAUAGGCUUGCUUAGUGCCAGAUACAGAUAUAUUUGGGAGUAGAAUGGUUGAAAACUCAUUAUCCAUAUUAAUUAACUUUUUAUACUCGGGAAAUAAAUGUUACCGAUUGCAAAGCUACAAAGCGUUGCUUUUAUAUUUGUUUCUUUGGACAAACGUUAACUAAAACCGCAGCGUUGAAACUCAAAAUUUGAGGUUAGAUUCGUUUUCUCGAAGUUACGAGUUUCGCAUUUAAAAUUCACACUCAGACAUGUUGUACUAACCAUAUAAGCUAUGCGUUUGUUUAAAUAUUUAUACACCAGCUUAGAACUAUUUUCUCUUCAAAACCCCUGCAGCACGCCAAGGGUUAAUGUUCAGUCAUCUACACAACCGCUUUUGCGCGCUUCAGCAACCAAAAAUCUUGGCUUGGAUGCACGCAGUUACCCCUCAGCACACACGACAGCACAAAAGCUUAUGUACUUACAUACGAUAUACAGGUACAUAUAGCCAGCCAGAUGACUGGCUCGCUCGCUACCUGUGGUCACGUCAGAAUGAGCCUGUUUCACACGGAGUAUUUCUUCAAACGGCUCUUCACGCUCAAUUUAGGUAGCCAAGCAGCCAACAAACCCUGCUUUGUUAUUAUAUUUACCCCACACGAUGUUGUUGUUGCACUUUUUUGGUCCAGCAAGCAAAAUACACGCCUCUGCGCCUCUACACCUGCUGCCGAUAGCUGAGUGCCUAAUCGAAUGAUACACUUGAGCACGCGUUAACUCUUUCGUUAGCUUGCCCGCUGGGCAAAACGGAUAUUAAUCGCUGUUGUUGUUGUGCGAGCAGCUGUAAUUGCUGCAAACGGUUAAUUGACAUUUUCCACGUGAUUUAUGAAAGGUCAUUUGUGUGGAUUACGUGGAAUUUCGUUAAUUGCUGCUUUAUGAACAGAUGAAAUGUGGGCGUUUUCAGCCACUAAUUGAAUUUCAUUAGGCGUGCAGAGAUUUGUGAAACGCGAGUGUGGGUUCGGAGAUUUCGAAAGUGGAAAAGAUAGCGCUGCUGCACGAAAUUAAGAAAAAUCUUAAAGUAUUUGUAUGUGCGUAUAUGUGUCUACAAAGGGAUCUUUAAAAUAAAAUAUAUGGUCCAGCAUACUCAAAUGCAUCUUUUGCUGUGGCAGAUCGUGUAGCGUUAAUUUGAGUAUUUGUUGUUGUUAUUAUUUACUUUGAAUAUAAAAAUUUUGACCUGCUCAUGUAUGUGCAAUAUGCUGCUUCAAGUACAAAAAAAACAAAAAGCAAGCGGUGGAAAUGCGGCUGUUACUACUGGGCGCCUGCUGGUAUGCUUUAGUUUUUAACAACUCAAUCUCGCUCGCGUAAAUUAUUUUUGUUCUACUUAAUUUUUAGAAAUUUUUUCAACGCAUAAAUAUUUUGUGACAAUAUGAGAACAUCAUUUUAUACUUUUCUUGCCUUAUAACAGUAUUUCGCGAGACGCGUUCACUAUUUUCCAGUACUCAGUGAAUUUCUUAAAAAACACAAUCCUCUCUUGUUCUUCUUUCCAUUACUAAACACCACAGUUUUCCACAUUUCCACGUUAGAUUUUCCAGGUUAGAGCUCACGUGCGCUGCACAUGCACUCUGCGCGCCUGUUGUUAUGUUACACUUUAUUCAAAUCUCAUUAACCCCUUUGAGAAAAAUAACUGCAUGCUUCAGAUGUGAUUAGCUGCAUUUGAAGCAGAUUAAAUUACAAAUUUCAUAGCAAAUUUAUGUAAAAUUAUUCACGAUCAUUUCAUUUGCGUGUGAAAAUGUUUACUUUUGUUUACAUAACUAACAUGCUGGGCAUAGGAACGCAUAAAAUAGCAUUAGGGUCACGAAAUUUUUCUUCAAAUUUUUUUUCACACGAAAAUGUAUGACAAAAUACAAUGCAGUGUGAAAAUAACGGCAGUUCGUGUUGUUGUUGUUGCUAUGUAAUUUCGAGACAACGGCAAAUCUUAAGCUGGCGGCACAGUGUGGGCGCAUUAAAGAAAUAUUUUUAAAAUUUCAAAGAAACAUAAAAACAUAUUUACGCCUGCUGAGAUCAUAACAUUGUUGUUGUCAUAUUUUUGUAUACCUCCGUUACGUUUUUACAGUAAGCAAAGAUAUUGUUGACUUUUUAAAAAAUCUCCUACGCAUUUCUCACAGCCAUAAUUUUCCGCCUAGCGGCUCUCGUGUGAAAUGCCGGCGCCGUUACUUACUCCCCAUACCGCCAGCGCACUUCUCCCUACAAAGAGCAACAACAACGUUUAGCCGUGACAUUGAAAUUUCGAGUGUUCCACUGAGUGCAUUCGCUAUUUUAAAUCACAGGCUAGCUGCCGUCAUCACAGGCUGCUGGGAAAAUUGACAACUGCAGCAAAAGGCAUCGCAACAAACGUCCUACAGCACAUACACUCUCACACACUCCUCGAUACAAACGAAAAGAGCAAGAAACUCGACACAACAACAACCACACACACAGUGACGUAAAA